rnacentral:rRNA from 1 species
UACGGAGGAUCCAAGCGUUAUCCGGAAUCAUUGGGUUUAAAGGGUCCGUAGGCGGUUUGGUAAGUCAGUGGUGAAAGCCCAUCGCUCAACGGUGGAACGGCCAUUGAUACUGCCAGACUUGAAUUAUUAGGAAGUAACUAGAAUAUGUAGUGUAGCGGUGAAAUGCUUAGAGAUUACAUGGAAUACCAAUUGCGAAGGCAGGUUACUACUAAUGGAUUGACGCUGAUGGACGGAAGCGUGGGUAGCGAACAGG